rnacentral:misc_RNA from 1 species
AGAAAAUUCUCUGGUUGAGUUUUUAAAGAUCAUUGCUUGACUAUUUUCAUAUCCAUCCAUGCUGAUAAGCACGUGCUUUUUUCCUCCACUUGUCUUGCCUUAAUGUUGCAAAGCUCCUGGUUUAGGUUGAACCAAAUGCUGCCUUAAUUAUUGCUUUCUAGGUGUUAGUUUUUUGGUUGUUUUUUCGGUUGGUUCUGAGUGUGAUUGUUAGCCUUUUGCACUGGAAUACCCUUUUAGUUCCUCUUCAUUUCAGUGUCCAAUGAGUAGCUUUUCUGGUAUAGGUUAAAAUAGAUGCUAGUUUUAGAGGUGAUGCUAUUAUUUUUUCACUAGUAGUAAUGCAAUUGUAUUUAUAUGUUCUUUCUUAUUAGCAUGGUUUUGAAAAUAUUUGUUGGUAAUAUUUUGAAAUUUUGUUGCGAGAGGCAUAUAUGAUGCAAUUUUAGCUAAUUGUAUAAACAUGGUUUACAGUUUUGAUUUUGUUGAAUCAUAUUAAAAUGAGAAAAAUAUAGUGACAAAGUACUUUUAGAUGAGCUAUUGAAUAAAAAUAGUUGUUAUUGGAGAGAGAAAGAGAGAAACUAAAGUAGGUGUUGUUUCAAUUUUUGAAGACAAAGAAAUGGCCUUUGAUCUUACAGAAGAGAGAGACUAGAUCUUACAAUGUCAUGCAGCAGUAUUUAGUUGAAAGCCUGUUAGAGUGCUGCAUUCAAUUUCUUCUUCUUUCUUUUCU